UGAGGAAUUUUCCGCAAUGGGCGCAAGCCUGACGGAGCGACGUCGCGUGUGGGAAGAAGGCCUUCGGGUCGUAAACCACUGUCGAAGGGGACGAUAUUGACGGUACCCUUGGAGGAAGCCCCGGCUAACUACGUGCCAGCAGCCGCGGUAAGACGUAGGGGGCAAGCGUUGUCCGGAAUUAUUGGGCGUAAAGCGCUCGUAGGUGGAUCUGCAAGUCCGCAAGCAAAGACCCGGGCUCAACUCGGGAAUCCGUGUGGAAACUGCUGAUCUUGAGGUAGUCAGAGGAUGAUGGAAUUCCCGGCGUAGCGGUGAAAUGCGUAGAUAUCGGGAGGAACACCAGUGGCGAAGGCGAUCAUCUGGGGCUAUUCUGACACUGAGGAGCGAAAGCUAGGGGAGCAAACGGGAUUAGAUACCCCGGUAGUCCUAGCCGUAAACGAUGGACACUAGGUGUAGGUGGUAUCGACUCCAUCCGUGCCGCAGUUAACACAAUAAGU
rnacentral:rRNA from 1 species